CUACGUAGGGUGCGAGCGUUGUCCGGAAUUACUGGGCGUAAAGAGCUCGUAGGUGGUUUGUCGCGUCGUCUGUGAAAUUCCGGGGCUUAACUCCGGGCGUGCAGGCGAUACGGGCAUAACUUGAGUACUGUAGGGGAGACUGGAAUUCCUGGUGUAGCGGUGAAAUGCGCAGAUAUCAGGAGGAACACCGGUGGCGAAGGGGGGUCUCUGGGCAGUAACUGACGCUGAGGAGCGAAAGCAUGGGUAGAGAACAGGAUUAGAUACCCUGGUAGUCCAUGCCGUAAACGGUGGGCGCUAGGUGUAGGGGUCUUCCACGACUUCUGUGCCGUAGCUAACGCAUUAAGCGCCCCGCCUGGGGAGUACGGCCGCAAGGCUAAAACUCAAAUGAAUUGACGGGG
rnacentral:rRNA from 1 species